rnacentral:rRNA from 1 species
UACGUAGGGUGCGAGCGUUGUCCGGAAUUAUUGGGCGUAAAGAGCUCGUAGGCGGUGUGUCACGUCGUUCGUGAAAACCUGCAGCUUAACUGUGGGCGUGCGGUCGAUACGGGCAUCACUGGAGUUCGGCAGGGGAGACUGGAAUUCCUGGUGUAGCGGUGAAAUGCGCAGAUAUCAGGAGGAACACCGGUGGCGAAGGCGGCUUUCUGGACAGAUACCGACGCUGAGGCACGAAAGCUAGGGGAGCAAACAGG